AAGGAGUGAAGCUUACAAAGAAGAUUCAAAAGAUGUAGUUGAUGUUUCUAACGAAAGCGAUGACAGAACUAACGAUAAAAACAAGGAUAUAAGGAAACUUAGUGAGAACCAAAUCAGUGAUGGUCAAGUCAGUGUUGAAACUGAGGACUUGCUGGGUAAUUCAACCAUUUCUAUUUUCAAGUCAUCUAAGGUUCAGAGAGUAACUUAAU
rnacentral:sRNA from 1 species